rnacentral:rRNA from 1 species
UACGGAGGGUGCGAGCGUUGUCCGGAAUCACUGGGCGUAAAGGGCGCGUAGGCGGCUUCUCAAGCGUGUGGUGAAAGUCCGGGGCUCAACCCCGGAUCGGCCGUGCGGACUGGGGAGCUCGAGUUCUGUAGAGGCGGGUGGAAUUCCUGGUGUAGCGGUGAAAUGCGCAGAUAUCAGGAAGAACACCCGUGGCUAAGGCGGCUCUCUAGUACGUGACUGACGCUGAGACGCGAAAGCGUGGGGAGCGAACAGG